rnacentral:lncRNA from 1 species
UUUUUUGCCAUUAUUAGUGCUCGUAUGCUACCGUGAUUACCUUAUAGUAGCCAUGUAAAGACAAAAUCCGUAUAUUGACUAUUUUGUAUUCGCUUGUGGAAAGGAGAAUAUAUUUUGCACGUACAAAUUGGUUUAAAAUUCAACUCCUAAUGUUCCUUCUAAUUGUCCAACUUUGCUACAAGUUGCUUCGUUAUUCAAAUUAGUUUAAAACAUUAAUAUGUCCUCCCAUUUAUUUGACUUAACUAUGAUGCCAUACGGAUAUAUCUUCUUUUUUAUAGAUAUAUUCUUUUCUACAAAAAGCAUCACUCCAUCUUUUUGCAUUUCAUACUGCUAUUUUGGGUCAUUCAUCAGCUAAGAGUAUAUGAAGCUAAUCUAUCCACAAGCAUUUUACAUUAUUUCAUUAGGCGUAAGCUUAUUUUAAUUCUGUGUAUAUCUGAUCCCAUGUUCGAAUCAGUCUGUGUGGUUUCAUAGUUAAAAACUUCUAUGACUAAAAUAUCAAAUAUGUGCCAUAGUUCAUGUGCACAUAAAUACCUCCCUUCCUUAAAUAAUCUCACAUACAACGACAUUUAGGAAUAUGUGAUUAAGAGUGAAUUGAACGAUGAAUUUCAUUUAUAAAGUGUAUGUCAUACUACAGAUUAGUAAUUGCCUAAGAUUUAAAUGAAAACUUAACUUUUAGAAUAAUUCCAUUACUAUUCGAAACAUUAACACUAAUGGGAUUGCUUUCGCCCAUCACUGACAGAAUGUCCCUCUCAGUGAUUCGAUUUCUAAUGAGUGUCACCACACAUUUGUCACUCGUGAAAACUAUCAUUGUGGCCCAAAUUUUUCUUCCUUUAGAUGUAAUCAAUGAUAUUGGUAGGUUAAAUAUGGACCUCAAUAUUGCAGCAAAUAAAUUGGAGCAGAAGAUAAAUGAAAACACAAACAAAACUCAACGAAUUUUCAAUAUAUAUUCAGUAUGAUUAUGUAUACCUUGAAUGGAUUUUAAUUUACUUCAACUAAUUCAUUCAUCAUAUGAUUAUGUAUACCUUGAAUGAAUUUUAAUUUACUUCAACUAAUUCAUUCAUCAUUUAAUUUCAAUAACCAAAGGCAUUGUUUCAGGAGAUCAGCACUUAGUACUGUUGCUGCAGUGAUGCUGCUUAUAUAGUUAUAUUUCUUCUGGACCUCAGUAUGCGUUCUUAGACAUCUCAUAUUCUUUAACUGGAAUUAUGCGUUUUCUAUUGCUCAUUGGGUAGUUUUUAGGCACAUUUCUGUUUUGUUCUCCCUGUUUAGUCCUCUUACAUGUUUCUACACAAAUUAGCAUAAUCAAUUUUUAUUCAUUCUUGUUGCUAACUUUAUUGAUGACUAAGUUUAGUUAACCGAAAUUGUAAGUUUACUGCCUUUGAUUGUACUUUUUGGUGCAAAUUUCAUGAAGAAGUUGAAACUUUGAAGUAAAAAACAAGUUCUUUAACACGUUGAUUCCUCUUUAAAUAAGAGAUAAACCUAUUUAGAAGUUUUAAUUCAAAGUAAGUGUUCAGCUAACAAAUAUAAUGCAUUAAUAAAAUAUUGUUACCAGAAGGUUAAAGAAGAGAAAUUACCCAUGGUGAAAGAGGAGAAAGUGCCAAAGAGGAAAUGUCCGCAGAAGACAGACUCAA